rnacentral:rRNA from 1 species
UCAGUAACACGUAUCAACCUAACUCAUGGAGGGGGAUAAUCUCGGGAAACUGAGAAUAAACCCCCAUAGAUAAUGGUGCCUGGAAUGGCCCAUUGUUGAAACAGUUUACUGCCGUGGGAUGGGACUGCGGCCUAUCAGCUUGUUGGUGAGGUAAUGGCCCACCAAGGCUAUAACAGGUACGGGCUCUGAGAGGAGAAGCCCGGAGAUGGGUACUGAGACACGGACCCAGUGCCCUAUGGGGCUGCAGCAGGCGAGAAACCUUAGCAAUGUGCGAAAGCACGACUGGGUCAGUCCUGAGUGAUUUCUGAUAAAGGAAUCUUUUGUCCUGUUGUAAAUGCACGGGCGAAUAAGGGGUGGGCAAGUCUGGUGCCA